ensembl:miRNA
GAUGCAAUUGGCUGCUCAGUAGUCGGUGUAGGAUCUGUCUGACAUUAUUACCAACAGCUACAUCUGAUUACUGGGUCACUGAUAGCAUCAUCA